AAUAGAUACCCGGGUAGUCCACGCCGUAAACGGUGGGCACUAGGUGUGGGGACCAUUCCACGGUCUCUGCGCCGCAGCUAACGCAUUAAGUGCCCCGCCUGGGGAGUACGGCCGCAAGGCUAAAACUCAAAGGAAUUGACGGGGGGCCCGCACAAGCGGCGGAGCAUGCGGCUUAAUUCGAAGCAACGCGAAGAACCUUACCUAGGCUUGACAUGCAGGGAAAUCUGGCAGAGAUGCCAGGUCCUUCGGGCCUUGCACAGGUGGUGCAUGGCUGUCGUCAGCUCGUGUCGUGAGAUGUUGGGUUAAGUCCCGCAACGAGCGCAACCCUCGUUCUAUGUUGCCAGCGGUUCGGCCGGGGACUCAUAGAAGACUGCCGGGGUCAACUCGGAGGAAGGUGGGGAGUGACGUCAAGUCAUCAUGCCCCUUAUGUCUAGGGCUGCACGCAUGCUACAAUGGUUGGUACAAAGGGCUGCAAUACCGCGAAGGUGGAGCGAAUCCCGAAAAAACGCCGGCCUCGAGUUCGGAGUUGGGGUCUGC
rnacentral:rRNA from 1 species